rnacentral:rRNA from 1 species
CUUAACACAUGCAAGUCGAGGGGCAGCAUGGUCUUAGCUUGCUAAGGCCGAUGGCGACCGGCGCACGGGUGAGUAACACGUAUCCAACCUGCCGUCUACUCUUGGACAGCCUUCUGAAAGGAAGAUUAAUACAAGAUGGCAUCAUGAGUCCGCAUGUUCACAUGAUUAAAGGUAUUCCGGUAGACGAUGGGGAUGCGUUCCAUUAGAUAGUAGGCGGGGUAACGGCCCACCUAGUCUUCGAUGGAUAGGGGUUCUGAGAGGAAGGUCCCCCACAUUGGAACUGAGACACGGUCCAAACUCCUACGGGAGGCAGCAGUGAGGAAUAUUGGUCAAUGGGCGAGAGCCUGAACCAGCCAAGUAGCGUGAAGGAUGACUGCCCUAUGGGUUGUAAACUUCUUUUAUAAAGGAAUAAAGUCGGGUAUGCAUACCCGUUUGCAUGUACUUUAUGAAUAAGGAUCGGCUAACUCCGUGCCAGCAGCCGCGGUAAUACGGAGGAUCCGAGCGUUAUCCGGAUUUAUUGGGUUUAAAGGGAGCGUAGAUGGAUGUUUAAGUCAGUUGUGAAAGUUUGCGGCUCAACCGUAAAAUUGCAGUUGAUACUGGAUAUCUUGAGUGCAGUUGAGGCAGGCGGAAUUCGUGGUGUAGCGGUGAAAUGCUUAGAUAUCACGAAGAACUCCGAUUGCGAAGGCAGCCUGCUAAGCUGCAACUGACAUUGAGGCUCGAAAGUGUGGGUAUCAAACAGGAUUAGAUACCCUGGUAGUCCACACGGUAAACGAUGAAUACUCGCUGUUUGCGAUAUACAGCAAGCGGCCAAGCGAAAGCGUUAAGUAUUCCACCUGGGGAGUACGCCGGCAACGGUGAAACUCAAAGGAAUUGACGGGGGCCCGCACAAGCGGAGGAACAUGUGGUUUAAUUCGAUGAUACGCGAGGAACCUUACCCGGGCUUAAAUUGCAGAUGAAUUACGGUGAAAGCCGUAAGCCGCAAGGCAUCUGUGAAGGUGCUGCAUGGUUGUCGUCAGCUCGUGCCGUGAGGUGUCGGCUUAAGUGCCAUAACGAGCGCAACCCUUGUUGUCAGUUACUAACAGGUUCCGCUGAGGACUCUGACAAGACUGCCAUCGUAAGAUGUGAGGAAGGUGGGGAUGACGUCAAAUCAGCACGGCCCUUACGUCCGGGGCUACACACGUGUUACAAUGGGGGGUACAGAGGGCCGCUACCACGCGAGUGGAUGCCAAUCCCAAAAACCUCUCUCAGUUCGGACUGGAGUCUGCAACCCGACUCCACGAAGCUGGAUUCGCUAGUAAUCGCGCAUCAGCCACGGCGCGGUGAAUACGUUCCCGGGCCUUGUACACACCGCCCGUCAAGCCAUGGGAGCCGGGGGUACCUGAAGUGCGUAACCGCGAGGAGCGCCCUAGGGUAAAACUGGUGACUGGGGCU